UAAGAAACAGGACCAUAGCCAAUUCAAGGAAAUUUUAACCCACAGUUUUAAUUGGUGGUAUUGGAGGUGGGACGUCUGGAGAAUGAAAGCACGUGAGAAAUUAAUUUCAGUAAUUAAACUGGUUAUUUUGCAGCUGUGUGUGGUGGCAGCUUCAUUUUCUGCCUCAAGUAUUAUGUAUGGGUCCGCCAAGCCAAUCUUCUCCGAUCUUUUUUCGCUAUUGUCAUUUGUCACAGACCAAGUUGCUGCCUUACCACACAAAAGUGAAUAAAUGAGUUCAGUUCUAGCUCUCACAAUAUGUAUGUACAGAUCAGAAAUUAAAGAUGGAGAUGAGGCACAAAUGAAUUGAAAUCAAUUAUUAGGUCCCCAACAGCUCAAAUACAUUACAGUUCUCAAAGACUCCUCCGACCGCUUCAAUUUCUCUUC